AACGAACGCUGGCGGCAUGCCUAACACAUGCAAGUCGAACGAGACCUUCGGGUCUAGUGGCGCACGGGUGCGUAACGCGUGGGAACCUGCCCUUAGGUUCGGAAUAACUCCCCGAAAGGGGUGCUAAUACCGGAUAAUGUCUUCGGACCAAAGAUUUAUCGCCUUUGGAUGGGCCCGCGUUGGAUUAGCUAGUUGGUAGGGUAAAAGCCUACCAAGGCGACGAUCCAUAGCUGGUCUGAGAGGAUGAUCAGCCACACUGGGACUGAGACACGGCCCAGACUCCUACGGGAGGCAGCAGGUGGGAAUAUUGGACAAUGGGCGAAAGCCUGAUCCAGCAAUGCCGCGUGAGUGAUGAAGGCCUUAGGGUUGUAAAGCUCUUUUACCCGGGAUGAUAAUGACAGUACCGGGAGAAUAGGCUCCGGCUAACUCCGUG
rnacentral:rRNA from 1 species